UACGUAGGGUGCGAGCGUUGUCCGGAAUUAUUGGGCGUAAAGGGCUCGUAGGCGGUUUGUCGCGUCGGGAGUGAAAACACUGGGCUUAACUCAGUGCUUGCUUCCGAUACGGGCAGACUAGAGGUAUUCAGGGGAGAACGGAAUUCCUGGUGUAGCGGUGAAAUGCGCAGAUAUCGGAAGGAACAUCAGUGGCGAAAGCGACUUCCUGGACCAGUACCGACGUCAGGCACGAAAGCGUGGGGAGCAAACAGG
rnacentral:rRNA from 1 species